rnacentral:rRNA from 1 species
CCUACGGGCGGCAGCAGUGGGGGAUAUUGCACAAUGGGGGGAACCCUGAUGCAGCGACGCCGCGUGAGCGAAGAAGUACCUCGGUAUGUAAAGCUCUAUCAGCAGGGAAGAAAAUGACGGUACCUGACUAAGAAGCCCCGGCUAAAUACGUGCCAGCAGCCGCGGUAAUACGUAUGGGGCAAGCGUUAUCCGGAUUUACUGGGUGUAAAGGGAGCGCAGGCGGCCUGCCAAGUCUGGUGUGAAAUCCCGGGGCUUAACCCCGGGCCUGCAUUGGAAACUGGCGGGCUGGAGUGUCGGAGGGGCAGGCGGAAUUCCUAGUGUAGCGGUGAAAUGCGUAGAUAUUAGGAGGAACACCAGUGGCGAAGGCGGCCUGCUGGACGAUGACUGACGCUGAGGCUCGAAAGCGUGGGGAGCAAACAGGAUUAGAUACCCCUGUAGUC